rnacentral:rRNA from 1 species
UAAGGUGGUUAUUGCGGCGGGGCUCACCUCUUCCCAUCCCGAACAGAGAAGUUAAGCCCGCCUGCGCAGAUGGUACUGCAUAUUGUGGGAGAGUAUGUCGCCGCCUUUC